rnacentral:rRNA from 1 species
AACGAACGCUGGCGGCAGGCCUAACACAUGCAAGUCGAACGCUGCAGCAAUGCAGAGUGGCAGACGGGUGAGUAACACGUGGGAAUCUUCCUAUCGGUACGGAAUAGCUCAGGGAAACUUGAGGUAAUACCGCAUACGCCCUUCGGGGGAAAGAUUUAUCGCCGAUAGAUGAGCCCGCGCCUGAUUAGCUAGUUGGUGGGGUAAUGGGCUACCAAGGCGACGAUCAGUAGCUGGUCUGAGAGGAUGACCAGCCACACUGGGACUGAGACACGGCCCAGACUCCUACGGGAGGCAGCAGUGGGGAAUAUUGGACAAUGGGCGCAAGCCUGAUCCAGCCAUGCCGCGUGAGUGACGAAGGUCUUCGGAUUGUAAAGCUCUUUUGCCAGGGACGAUAAUGACGGUACCUGGAGAAUAAGCCCCGGCUAACUUCGUGCCAGCCGCCGCGGUAAUAC